UACGUAGGGGGCAAGCGUUGUCCGGAUUUAUUGGGCGUAAAGAGCGUGUAGGCGGCCAUGUAGGUCCGUUGUGAAAACUGGAGGCUUAACCUUCAGACGUCGACCGAAACCAUCUGGCUAGAGUCCGGAAGAGGAGAGUGGAAUUCCUGGUGUAGCGGUGGAAUGCGCAGAUAUCAGGAAGAACACCCGUGGCGAAAGCGGCUCUCUGGGACGGUACUGACGCUGAGACGCGAAAGCGUGGGGAGCGAACAGG
rnacentral:rRNA from 1 species